CCAGACUCCUACGGGAGGCAGCAGUGGGGGAUAUUGCACAAUGGGGGGAACCCUGAUGCAGCGACGCCGCGUGGGUGAAGGAGUAUUUCGGUAUGUAAAGCCCUAUCGGCAGGGAAGAAGCAAGACGGUACCUGACUAAGAAGCCCCGGCUAACUACGUGCCAGCAGCCGCGGUAAUACGUAGGGGGCAAGCGUUAUCCGGAUUCACUGGGUGUAAAGGGAGCGUAGACGGCGGCGCAAGUCUGGAGUGAAAGCCCGGGGCCCAACCCCGGGACUGCUCUGGAAACUGCGGCGCUGGAGUACGGGAGGGGCAGGCGGAAUUCCUGGUGUAGCGGUGAAAUGCGUAGAUAUCAGGAGGAACACCGGCGGCGAAGGCGGCCUGCUGGACGAUGACUGACGUUGAGGCGCGAAAGCGUGGGGAGCAAACAGGAUUAGAUACCCUUGUAUA
rnacentral:rRNA from 1 species